rnacentral:rRNA from 1 species
GACGAACGCUGGCGGCGUGCUUAACACAUGCAAGUCGAACGGAAAGGCCCUGCUUUUGUGGGGUGCUCGAGUGGCGAACGGGUGAGUAACACGUGAGUAACCUGCCCUUGACUUUGGGAUAACUUCAGGAAACUGUGGCUAAUACCGGAUAGGAGCUCCUGCUGCAUGGUGGGGGUUGGAACGUUUCGGCGGUUGGGGAUGGACUCGCGGCUUAUCAGCUUGUUGGUGGGGUAGUGGCUUACCAAGGCUUUGACGGGUAGCCGGCCUGAGAGGGUGACCGGCCACAUUGGGACUGAGAUACGGCCCAGACUCCUACGGGAGGCAGCAGUGGGGAAUAUUGCACAAUGGGCGGAAGCCUGAUGCAGCAACGCCGCGUGCGGGAUGACGGCCUUCGGGUUGUAAACCGCUUUCGCCUGUGACGAAGCGUGAGUGACGGUAAUGGGUAAAGAAGCACCGGCUAACUACGUG